AUACGGUGAAUACGUUCCCGGGUCUUGUACUCACCGCCCGUCACACCACGAAAGUUGGUAAUACCUGAAGGUGUUAUUUAUUAACAACCAAGGUAGGAUCAACGAUUGGGGUG
rnacentral:rRNA from 1 species